rnacentral:lncRNA from 1 species
AUCUUGUAGGUCCUUCCCAACCUUGUGAUUCUAUGAUUCUGUGAACUUGGCAUAUGUAUAAUGGUGACAAGCAGACAUUGGUUUCUAAAAUCAGAACAAUUUGCUAACUGAAAAUGUUGCAAUGUCUUCGUUUAUGGUUUUGCUUGCAGUCCUCUGUUAGGUAUAGAUCCAGUGUUCACUUGCAGGGAGAAUGAUCUUAUGCACGUGUAUUUCCACGUGUAUUUGCAGCUUAGCAUUCAUGCUGCUGGGAGAGAGAAACGGAACCCCCUGUUCAGUCAGGGAUUGAUGCCUCUGACAUGGGCAGCUUGCAGGUGUUCUUCUGUGAGCCUUUAGAAGGACACUCAACAUGUGGCAUUGCAAGAACAGUUUCAGCAAACUUUAGGCUGACUCAGUGCCAGAGCAGAGAAAUCACAUUAUAUCCUGAAGGAAGUAAUUCAAGCGCCUCACCUGGCAAUUCUGCUGAGAUUUGUUCCUUCUGGAUACACAGCCUUUACUUGGAACUGUCGGCUCUCGCCCAAAUUGUUAGUUAGGAGCUUCCCAAAACACAGCAGGACAAUAGACAUAGCUGUCUUCCAAAGAUCAACUGCCAGAAGCUACCAGAAAAAAGUCUCAUCCACAGGACCAAGGAAAAUAGUGUUCUCCAUGCUUUGAAGCAUUAGGGAAUAGUAAGAUCUUUGCUACCACAAGAAUGUGAACUUGCACAUGGGAAAGUAACAGUAGGCAACACAAGGUCACAUCCUGGACUGUCUUUGAGUCACUGUAUCAAUGACUGUCAAGCCAACUUUGCCAUCCCAGUCAACUUUAUUCUAAUUCAAUGAUUGGGUCCCCAGCAUUAAGAGUUUCAAACAGUGGUCAUAAAAAACAGUAACCUCUUUGUGGGAGUUGCCUGAUGUGCUUUUCCAUUUUGUGUUCUACCUUGUGUUCCUGCUUGGGUCUCACAGAGGUCCUCCUGUGAGGACUUUCCUUGCUGGGUGCAGAAGGAAAGAGCACUUCUUGGCAUAAGGAUGGUAAUCAAAGCAUCGUCUUGCUGGAAGAGAACCAUAUGUGAUCUUAAGUUCAUACGGUAGCUGAAGUCCCAAGCACAUACCUCAUACGUCCUCCUGAACAUGGAAGAAGUCUCUCUUGACCACCAAGACACAUCUUUACAUACCUGUCAUGCUGUCUCAUUAGAUGUGCUUGGUAUUUAUGGAGGUCAAAUCACCAACAGGACAGGAUGUUAUCUGCCAGUUACACAAAGCAACCAUCACACCUGUGCUAAUACUCUAAACACUUGAGCAAUAAAGAUCCUGUGUUAUUUUGCAAUAAAGCUUGUUUACUUUUUGCUACUGUUCAAGCCUACGAUGAAGAAAGUAUCUUCAAAAAAGUAACAGGUGAACUCCAGCUGUCUAGAUCACUAUGGCAACAUCCAUUUCUUCCAGCUGCACAAGCAGGUAAUAGGGCCAUCGUUUUCUAUUUUAAAACAAAUACAGAACAGGAACUUAGUUUUAUGUCAGCAAGCAGACUGAAUUGAUGAAAUGUAAACCUGGAUUAUCAGAUGGCUUGAGAAGCAAUUUACACCUACAUCUACAGAUCAAAGAUGCUGUGUCAGUCUAUUUGCUCUCAGGAAUAAUCCUGCUUAAAGAAAUUGCUUGUUAAAGAGACCAAGAAUAGAAAAAAAAGAAGAAAAAACACACAAAAUGCAUUUUUUUGGUAGCUAAGUUAAUGUUAAUUGCUGUCAUGCAGCUGAAGUAGUUUCCGUUUCUGGACACGAAUCUUGCUUACAUGAUCAAUACAAUUUUUACUACUGCCUCAGCUUCACUCCAGAUGGCUCUUCCCUUCAGAAUUUCUAAAUAGCUAUACCAGACUUUUCUCAAUGGCAUCCAGUGAAAUGACAAGAGGCAACGGACACAAACUGGAGAAAAAAACCCACACACAUUCCACAUCAGCAUUUUUGGUUUUUUAAACUGUGUGUAGUCACACACACUGGAACAGGCCGGCCCACAGUGGUUGUAGAGC